rnacentral:misc_RNA from 1 species
GAUGAAGAACGUAGCGAAAUGCGAUAAGUAAUGUGAAUUGCAGAAUUCAGUGAAUCAUCGAAUCUUUGAACGCACAUUGCGCCCGCCAGUAUUCUGGCGGGCAUGCCUGUUCGAGCGUCAUUUCAACCAUCAAGCCCCCCGGCUUGUGUUGGGGACCUGCGGCUGCCGCAGGCCCUGAAAAGCAGUGGCGGGCUCGCUGUCACACCGAGCGUAGUAGAUCUCAUCUCGCUCAGGGCGUGCUGCGGGUUCCGGCCGUUAAACCACCUUCAUAACCCAAGCUUGACCUCGGAUCAGGUAGGAAGACCCGCUGAACUUAAGCAUAUCAAUAAGCGGAGGA